GAGUUUGAUCCUGGCUCAGGACGAACGCUGGCGGCGUGCCUAAUACAUGCAAGUUGAGCGCUGAAGGUUGGUACUUGUACCAACUGGAUGAGCAGCGAACGGGUGAGUAACGCGUGGGGAAUCUGCCUUUGAGCGGGGGACAACAUUUGGAAACGAAUGCUAAUACCGCAUAAAAACUUUAAACACAAGUUUUAAGUUUGAAAGAUGCAAUUGCAUCACUCAAAGAUGAUCCCGCGUUGUAUUAGCUAGUUGGUGAGGUAAAGGCUCACCAAGGCGAUGAUACAUAGCCGACCUGAGAGGGUGACCGGCCACAUUGGGACUGAGACACGGCCCAGACUCCUACGGGAGGCAGCAGUGGGGAAUAUUGCACAAUGGGCGAAAGCCUGAUGCAGCGACGCCGCGUGAAGGAUGAAGUAUUUCGGUAUGUAAACUUCUAUCAGCAGGGAAGAAAAUGACGGUACCUGACUAAGAAGCCCCGGCUAACUACGUGCCAGCCGCCGCGGUAAUUC
rnacentral:rRNA from 1 species